rnacentral:rRNA from 1 species
UACAGAGGUCUCGAGCGUUGUUCGGAUUCAUUGGGCGUAAAGGGUGCGUAGGUGGCGCUGUAAGUCAGGUGUGAAAUUUCGGAGCUUAACUCCGAAACUGCAUUUGAUACUGCGGUGCUUGAGGACUGGAGAGGAGACUGGAAUUUACGGUGUAGCAGUGAAAUGCGUAGAUAUUCGGAGGAACACCAGUGGCGAAGGCGGCUUACUGGUCCAUUACUGACGCUCAGGCACGAAAGCGUGGGGAGCAAACAGG